rnacentral:rRNA from 1 species
AGUGAACGCUGGCGGUAGGCCUAACACAUGCAAGUCGAACGGCAGCACAGUAAGAGCUUGCUCUUACGGGUGGCGAGUGGCGGACGGGUGAGGAAUACAUCGGAAUCUACUUUUUCGUGGGGGAUAACGUAGGGAAACUUACGCUAAUACCGCAUACGACCUACGGGUGAAAGCAGGGGAUCUUCGGACCUUGCGCGAUUGAAUGAGCCGAUGUCGGAUCAGCUAGUUGGCGGGGUAAAGGCCCACCAAGGCGACGAUCCGUAGCUGGUCUGAGAGGAUGAUCAGCCACACUGGAACUGAGACACGGUCCAGACUCCUACGGGAGGCAGCAGUGGGGAAUAUUGGACAAUGGGCGCAAGCCUGAUCCAGCCAUACCGCGUGGGUGAAGAAGGCCUUCGGGUUGUAAAGCCCUUUUGUCGGGAAAGAAAAGCAGCAGGUUAAUACCCCGCUGUUCUGACGGUACCCAAAGAAUAAGCACCGGCUAACUUCGUG